AUCCCAUGAUGAGGACAAUUCUUGAUCAUCAUGUUAAACCGUUCGAAUGCUUCAUGAAACAUUUCACCUUGUUGUUGUUGAAACUCCUCAACCCCUUCCUAGCAU
rnacentral:snoRNA from 2 species